rnacentral:rRNA from 1 species
GAUGAACGCUGGCGGCGUGCUUAACACAUGCAAGUCGAACGGAAAGGCGCUGCUUUUGCGGGGUGCUCGAUUGGCGAAGGGGGGAGUAACACGCGAGUAAACUGUCCCUAACUGAGGGAUAACAUCAGGGGAAAGGGGCGAAUACCGCAUAGGAGCUCCUGAAGCAUGGUGGGGGAUGGAAAGAUUCGGCGGUUGGGGAUGGUCUCGCGGGUUCUCCGCUGGUUGGUGGGGUAGGGGAUGUCAAAGUGUUUGAAGGGUAGCCGGCCUGGGAGGGUGACCGGCCACAUUGGGCCUGCGGUACGGCCCAGACUCCUACGGGACGCAGCAGUGGGGAAUCUUGCACAAUGGGCGGACGCCUGUUGCAGCAACGUCGCGUUCGGAAUGACGGCCUUCGGGUUGUAAACCACUUUCGCCUGUGACGAAGCGUUAUUGACGGUAAUGGGUAAAGAAGCACCGGCUAACUACGUG